CAUCAAUUCUCUUUUGUUAAUGUGCUGUUGCAUGCCCCAGUUCUGCUGUGGAGUAAGAGUCCUGCAGUUUCUCAUUGCUUAACCAAUGACUGUGGAUAUGUUUUUAUAUGAUGUAAAAGCAAUGCAGUAAUAGAUACUGUGCCAUAACAAUUUCCCUGAGGGGAUCAAAAAAGUAUUCUGAUUCUGAAGUAGAUAGAUAUAAAAAGAGCCUCCAUAGAAAAGAAGAACUUGUUCAAGGUAGGUUUAUGCAAAUACAUCUGCAGGAAGGAUAGCAGUGUAACAAUUUAUGAUACCUAUUGAAACAGAUGAGAGAGGCUUUGUUCAGAGUUUUUACAGAAUGGAAUGUAGAACACACACACACACACACACACAC